UACGUAGGGUGCAAGCGUUAAUCGGAAUUACUGGGCGUAAAGCGUGCGCAGGCGGUGAGCUGUGUCCGCUGUGAAAGCCCCGGGCUUAACCUGGGAAUGGCAUUGGAAACUGGCUCGCUGGAGUGUGGCAGAGGGGGGUGGAAUUCCGCGUGUAGCAGUGAAAUGCGUAGAGAUGCGGAGGAACACCGAUGGCGAAGGCAGCCCCCUGGGCUAACACUGACGCUCAGGCACGAAAGCGUGGGGAGCAAACAGG
rnacentral:rRNA from 1 species